CUCUACGGGAGGCAGCAGUGGGGAAUUUUGGACAAUGGGGGCAACCCUGAUCCAGCCAUGCCGCGUGAGUGAAGAAGGCCUUCGGGUUGUAAAGCUCUUUCGGUGGGAACGAAACGGGUGCGGCUAAUACCCGCAUUUAAUGACGGUACCUACAGAAGAAGCACCGGCUAACUACGUGCCAGCAGCCGCGGUAAUACGUAGGGUGCGAACGUUAAUCGGAAUUACUGGGCGUAAAGCGUGCGCAGGCGGCGCGUUAAGACAGGUGUGAAAGCCCCGAGCUUAACUUGGGAAUUGCGCUUGUGACUGGCGAGCUGGAGUGUGGCAGAGGGAGGUGGAAUUCCACGUGUAGCAGUGAAAUGCGUAGAGAUGUGGAGGAACACCGAUGGCGAAGGCAGCCUCCUGGGCCAGCACUGACGCUCAUGCACGAAAGCGUGGGGAGCAAACAGGAUUAGAUACCCUGGUAGUCCACGCCCUAAACGAUGUCAACUGGUUGUUGGUGGGGUUAAACCCAUUAGUAACGAAGCUAACGCGUGAAGUUGACCGCCUGGGGAGUACGGCCGCAAGGUUAAAACUCAAAGGAAUUGACGGGGACCCGCACAAGCGGUGGAUGAUGUGGAUUAAUUCGAUGCAACGCGAAGAACCUUACCUACCCUUGACAUGCCAGGAAGCCCGCUGAG
rnacentral:rRNA from 1 species